ensembl:lncRNA LINC02347 long intergenic non-protein coding RNA 2347
AGAGUAUUUGUUUUUAAUUUCUAUGGAUCUGCUUAUACUUCUCUUUUGCAAAUUGAAACACCGUGGAAGAUUUUUUGGAACUUAGGUUGAGAGUUGUACAUGGCUUCAGAGUUGCUGUGGAUUUCUAUCUCCAUGGGGCCAUCUGUCUCAUCUGUCUAUAUAAUGGUCAUGCACUUUGCAGAGCCUGCUUCAAUGUCUGCUAUACUAUGGCCACUCUGCCAGUGUUGUUGACAAACAGAUGGGUUUUGAUGGCAGAGAAACUUAUAUUUAGCAAGUCUUCCUUUUGCCCUUGAACUUUUCCACCUGUUGUUUGCACCAGCAACUCCCAUGGCAAAUGUGAAAAAGCAAAAAAUAAGGAAUAUUACAAGAUGGGACUAACAUUAAAAUGUAUGUUUUCAUCAAACAUGAUCAAGAACCUACCGAUGAUUGAAGAUUGAUUCUGAGUAAUCAGCACAGAUUUCUAAAAGAAACUUUAUGGGAUGCUGAGACAUGAAUAAAAACAACUUUAUUCCUUUGGAAAGGACAACCCACAUGCUAAGAAGAUGACACUACACGUUGUUAUAGCCCGAAAGGCCCUCUUUCCACAGGGGAGCAGUGAAAAGUAGAGGUUGCCCAUGUGGAUUCCCAAGUCAGAUAGAUGUGGAUUCAGAUCCCAGCUCUGCUGCUUGCUACCCAAGAGACCAUGGACUGUGGACUCUUUAGGUCUCAGGGUUUUUGUUUGUUGUCUGUUUUUCACUUCCAAAACCAGAAAAUGAGAAGAUAUUUUCCAUAAGAUGGCGGUGGAGAAGAGAACUUGAUGGACCUUGCUUGGACAAAAUGCCUUCACCGCUAACUCAGUCAGCUAUGGCGAUGGGUCAAGGACCUGGUGGUUUUACAGAGAAGACCCUUGGUCAAAUCUUUGUGAAUGAAGCAACCAUUCUGAUGUUCAAUAACAGGAAUGCACCAGUUUAUACCAAACUAUCUGUACUAUUGAGAACAGCAAAAAUAUCUGACCAAAAACACCAAAGAGUGACAUUUUAAAAGACAUCAAAGAACUCUCAAGGCUUCCAGAGUUGGAAAGAUCAAGAAAGAGAGAAUGCAACUUCAUUAAGUGACUCAACUCCAAAUAGGAGCAUUUCAAGAGUAUGUAUUUCAACAAAGAAGUAUUAGAAGAUGACAGUGUCCUUGCAGUAUCUUUUAGGGGCUAUCAGAACAUGAUUUCUGCUAUAUUCUAUCAUCGGAGCCUUAAUAAUGUUAACUAUAAUUCAAGGGAAGAUCAAAUAAACUUCACCUUUCAAGGA